GAUGAACGCUGGCGGCGUGCCUAAUACAUGCAAGUCGAGCGAACAGACGAGGAGCUUGCUUCUCUGACGUUAGCGGCGGACGGGUGAGUAACACGUGGAUAACCUACCUAUAAGACUGGGAUAACUUCGGGAAACCGGAGCUAAUACCGGAUAAUAUUUUGAACCGCAUGGUUCAAUAGUGAAAGACGGUCUUGCUGUCACUUAUAGAUGGAUCCGCGCUGCAUUAGCUAGUUGGUAAGGUAACGGCUUACCAAGGCAACGAUGCCUAGCCGACCUGAGAGGGUGAUCGGCCACACUGGAACUGAGACACGGUCCAGACUCCUACGGGAGGCAGCAGUAGGGUAUCUUCCGCAAUGGGCGAAAGCAUGACGGAGCAACGCCGCGUGAGUGAUGAAGGUCUUCGGAUCGUAAAACUCUGUUAUUAGGGAAGAACAUAUGUGUAAGUAACUGUGCACAUCUUGACGGUACCUAAUCAGAAAGCCACGGCUAACUACGUG
rnacentral:rRNA from 1 species